CGGAGUAUGGCGCAGUCUGGUAGCGCACCGGUUUUGGGUACCGGGGGUCGUAGGUUCGAAUCCUACUACUCCGACCA
rnacentral:tRNA from 2 species